rnacentral:rRNA from 1 species
CCCUUAGAUGUCCUGGGCCGCACGCGCGUUACACUGAUGCAUUCAACGAGCUUAUAACCUUGGCCGAGAGGCCUGGGCAAUCUUGUUAACGUGCAUCGUGAUAGGGAUAGAUUAUUGAAAUUAUUAAUCUUGAACGAGGAAUCCCUAGUAAACGCAGAUCAUCAAUCUGCAUUGAUUACGUCCCUGCCCUUUGUACACACCGCCCGUCGCUCCUACCGAUUGAAUGCUCAGGUGAGCCAUUCGGACUUUCAUCAUGCUGGUUUCCAGUUUUGAUGAAGGAAAGUCUUGCGAACCUUAUCAUUUAGAGGAAGGAGAAGUCGUAACA